rnacentral:rRNA from 1 species
CUGAUGGCGACCGGCGUACGGGUGAGUAACGCGUAUCCAACCUGCCCUUUACUAUGGGACAGCCCGUCGAAAGGCGGAUUAAUACCGUAUGUUGUCAUGUUGAUGCAUAUUUUCAUGACCAAAGGCUUCGGCCGGUAAAGGAUGGGGAUGCGUCUGAUUAGCUUGCCGGCGGGGUAACGGCCCACCGGGGCGACGAUCAGUAGGGGUUCUGAGAGGAAGGUCCCCCACACUGGUACUGAAACACGGACCAGACUCCUACGGAAGGCAGCAG